CCUACGGGUGGCAGCAGUGGGGAAUAUUGGACAAUGGGCGCAAGCCUGACCCAGCAACGCCGCGUGCAGGAAGAAGGCUUUCGGGUUGUAAACUUCUUUUCUCAGGGACGAAGCAAGUGACGGUACCAGAGGAAUAAGCAACGGCUAACUACGUGCCAGCAGCCGCGGUAAUACGGAGGUGGCAAGCGUUAUCCGGAUUUACUGGGUGUAAAGGGCGUGUAGGCGGGGACGCAAGUCAGAUGUGAAAACCACGGGCGCAACCUGUGGCCUGCAUUUGAAACUGUGUUGCUAGAGUACUGGAGAGGCAGACGGAAUGCCUAGUGUAGCGGUGAAAUGCGUAGAUAUUAGGCGGAACACCAGUGGCGAAGGCGGUCUACUGAACAGCAACUGACGCUGAGGCGCGAAAGCGUGGGGAGCAAACAGGAUUAGAUACCCUGGUAGUC
rnacentral:rRNA from 1 species